GGGCCUGUGCCUGAAUGCUUAAGGACCACCUUGAUAGGGUGAAUUACGAGGGUUAAAUUCCCUUCAGGCCCU
rnacentral:tRNA from 1 species